CUAUACUAUCAUUUUUUUUUUUUGAGAGAGAUAGGUAGCACGCUACAUGCUUCAUUUAUUUCAUUUAGAAAUAAACUUAGAUAGAAAUGUGAAUCACCUAGGAUUCGAACUUGGGUCUCGAGUAUCAACCACCAAGCUCUUUUCCGCUUGCUCUAGGGACAGUCGGUUACUAUCAUUUUUUUUAAUCAGUACUAGUGUAACUAUAUUUGAAAUCUAUUUUCAUAUUCA
rnacentral:lncRNA from 1 species